GCAGCUGUAAGUCUAGGGGUUUUUCUUCCUCCUCCAGGUGUGGGCCGCAAGCCAGUGAAAUAACAAAGCCUGAGCCUCAGGCCACAGCUCAGGGUGGGUGUGUUACUGCGACACAGAUCAACCCCCUUCGCUCCCCGACAGAGACACACAGCGGUCCCUGCUCCCCCUACCCAGAGACAGCACCAAGCCCCUGCCUUGAGUGUGUGCCUGCCCGGGAGGGGAUUGGCAGCAGAGGGCGAGUAGGAGGUAGGCUGGAUCGGAGCCCACCCACACCCUUCCCCUUCCAGUUCCCUGUUCGGCUUCCCAGCUCCCCUCCCGGUUGGGCCUUUCCUCCCAGCCCCCUCUGCCAGGGCUCCCUGGAAAACCAGGAGCGGGAGACUGCCUAGCUUGGGUUGCCCAUGGGCCCCGUUCCUUCCCCAGGGAGGUGACAGCCUGGGAGGUGGGUGCCCCAGUUUGGGAUCUGGCACUGGCAGCGGCAGGGAGGAAGCUGGAGCUGGAGGGGGCCAUUGCAGAGUCAGGAGAGAAAGGGCCUCCGAGGUUAAACCAAGGCCUGCUGAAGAGACUCUGCCCAACAGGGGCACCCUAUCUAGGGGCGCUCCAGGUAGGAGGCACCUUACUCCCUACAGCCCCAAGCUUGGCUAGGUGCUGGGUUCUGUGAAGGCUGGCUGCCCAAAUACCUGAGGCAGUGACUGCUCCAUGGCUCCACACAGGGACCCCCGCACCUCCUCUGGAAAGCUCAAACACUUUCUCAGUUUACCGUUAAGGCUAGGGCUCAAACAGUUGGGACAUGUCUGAGGUGUGAGCCAGAUCUCAUGACUGAACUCCGAGGGGCCCCGAGUGCUCUUGGAAGCUAAGUCCUCCUUAUCCCCAAGCCCACAGAAACUGCUCUCCACAGCACAAGAGGAAAACUGAUCCAACCCAGUCUUCCAAGAGGCUCCCCCUGCUGCCAUCGGUCGAUGAUUCCUCCCAAAUCCCAGCUCUCCCUUCGUGACCACAGUCAUUUCCAAUCACCCCACAUCAAAGAUUGAAAAGUGGGUGAUAGCACCGAGGCGCAGCUGGUAGGGAAAAAAAAAGUUGGACCCAGAGCCAACAGAUAAGGUCCUGACUGGGUCAGCUGAUUCCCAGGAUGUCACCUGGCUCCACCUGCCCCACAGUUGGGGUCUCACAGGCAACAGGAGGGGGCUGCCAGCAGGCCAGAGAGGUACCUUCAAGUGUCCGCCAACGGACACAGACCAGGCACAGAGCAAGCAAUGGGAAUUCGUCUGCACCACGGUCCAGAGAGACCCAGGGGAACCUGUAUUGGGGUUCUGGGAGAGGAGCCUCUGACCUGAGUGGGCAGGAAAAACAGGGCGGCAGAGGGCACCCAGGACAUGGAAACGAAGGAAUGUGUCUCGGGCCACCCACGUCCCUGACAUGUGAGCUUCAUGAAAGGUCGUCACGGAAAACGGCGGUCCUGGGUCAAACCUAGGUCCCUUUGUGUUUGUCCAGAGACCUCAAAACUGCUCAGCAUUACCUGAAAUCAUCAGUAUGUGACCAGACAAGGUUCCACUCAGUGGCCAAGGUCCCAAGCCUGGGCAUAGCAUUGCCCACCUGCUCUGGAGAGCCACAUUCUUCUCUCAAGCUACCCUGGCUACAGGGAGCAGUGAGCUCCUGGAGCGCUCUCCCAAGCUGGCAGCAGGCACAGAGCCCACCUCAGGAUCCAGCAGACCCCAGCACCUACAGCAUCCUCCUCACCGAGGCCAAGGCUGCAUAACGGGAAUCCUCGUCACAAGCCCAGCCAUGUUUUUAUCUUCUCCUCAAUAAUUCUUCAUGUCCAUAGUGACCCUGAAUAAUGUGCGUAAGAACAGCAUAAAAAUGUUCAUCCCUGAGCUGGGCAGUGGUGGCUCACGCCUUUAAUCCCAGCACUCAGGAGGUGGAGGUGGAGGCAGAGGCAGGCGGAUCUCUGUGAGUUCGAGGCCAGCCUGGUUUACAGAGCAAGUUCCAGGAAAGGCGCAAAGCUACACAGAGAAACCCUGUCUCGAAAACAAACAAACAAAAAAAUAGUUCAUCCUUAGGGCUGGAGAGAUGGCUCAGUGGUUAAGAGUCCUUGCUGCUCUUCCAGAGGGCCCCGGCUCCUAACCACCACAAAACAGCAUGCAACUCUAGCUCCCGAUUUGACUUCCUCUUCUGGCCUCCACAGGCAUUGGCACACACAUGGUACAUGCUCGCACACAUACACAUACACACACACACACACACACACACACACACACACACACACGCACAAAUAAAAGUCAUCUUUAGUGAGGAAAUGCUCAUCCUUGAACUCCUGAUCCUCCUGCCUCUGCCUUCCACGGGCUGGGAUUUAUCACGGUGUCCACUGUGCCUGACCUCUGUGGUGCUUGGGAUGGACCCCAGGGCCUUGUGCAUGCCAAGAACCCCACUAACUGAACCACCCGACAGCUGCUUUGGUUGACUUUUGUUUCCUGAGAGGGUCUCACAGACCAGGGCUGCCCACACACUUGCUAUACAGCUGAGAACUUGAACUCCUGAUCCCCCUGCCUCCACCUGCCACAAGCGGAGAUUACAGGUCUGUGCCCACCAUGCCUCGUGAGAGCUGCAAUACCAACUAAUCUCCACAUUGUACCACCUUCAACCUCCAGACAGAUUUAUUUUUUUUUUUUUUUUAAAGAAGAUGUGAAUUGACAAGAAUGGGCUGAACAAGGGAAAAGACAUUACCAACAACAUUUCAAGACUGGGGAAGCAACGUAACAGUCAAAGACCGGCAUAGAAAAGCUGAUUUCAACACACAGUCCUUAACAGACACUUGUCUCCACGGCACCAGGCACCUGUGGGACUAGACUGAAGAGGACACACGUGUGAGGAUAAAGAGGCUGGCUCGAGAACCCUCCCUACACCUGCUUCUCCUCAAGUCACAACUUCAGGUUCUCUGGAGGGCAAGAUGGCUGAGGGAGAGGUGCCACAGCCCAGCCAGGCAGUCCGUUUCAGUGCUGAUGUGAGUUCUUAGGCUCUUCCCCCACUGGACUGGGAAACCGUGGCAGCCAGGCCCAGAUCUCCUCUAGAGCAAAGGCCUAAGGAUGCAGCACUCACAUCAGCACCACGAUGGGGUCAGGACUGCCUGUCUGGUCCACCAGUGUGGAUCUGAGGGUUGACGAGCCUUCAGGCUCAGAGCUUCCAAACAACUUCUCUGGGUUAGUUGGUUUCAGUUGUUGUUUUGGUUUUUUGUUUGUUUUAUUUUCUGAGAUAGGAUCUUAUUAUAGCGCCCAGGAUGGCCUGGAACUUUCUGUGUAGCCUAGGAUGGCCUCAAACUGAAGAUUUUCCUGCUUCUACCAUGUGAACAGUGAUUUCAGGCAUGAACCAUCACACCUGGCCAGUCCCCCAUUCAUUGCUUAUUUAUUUAUUUAUUUAAAGGAUCUCACUAUGUAGCCCUGGCUGGCCUGGAACUUGCUACAUAGACUAGGCUGGCUUAUAACUCAGAGCUCUGCCUGCUUCUGCCUCCUGCAAUCCCACUCUUAAUCUAGAAAGGUCAACCAAGGGCCAAUAGAUGUUUUAUAGGAAAGCACCUGACUUGGAAAAUAGGGACCAGAAUAAAUAACAUCAAACCAACUGGGACAAAACACAACGAUGGUAACAGGAAGUGGGUGAAACAAAUGUUAGAUACAGAGAAGAUGUUUUUAUAGCCGCAAAACAAGAAUGUGAUGCUACAGAAAAAGAAAAGUUAGAGAACAGGAAAGGACUUCUGGGGGCUGUAGAGACGCACAGCUGUUAAGAGUACACACCGCUCUUAAGAACAGAAUCCAGCUCCCAGCACGCUGUGGAACAACCUUUCUGUACACUGUGAAUAUUUGUUGCUCUCAUUGUUUUUUGUUUUUUUCUUUUUAAAUUUAUUUAUUAUACACUAUAUAUAGUGUCCUGUCUGCAUGUAUCCCUGCCUGCCAGAAGAGGGCACCAGAUCUCAUUACAGAUGGUUGUGAGCCACCAUGUGGUUGCUGGGAAUUGAACUCAGGACCUAUGGAAGAACAGUCAGUGCUUUUAACCUCUGAGCCAUUUCUCUAGCCCUGCUCUCAUUGUUUAAUAAAAGGCUAAAUGGCCAAUAGCUAGGCAGGUAGAGGUUAGGCGGGACUUGCGGACAAAAAGAGAGGCUGGGAAGAAGAAGGGCGGAGUCACCAGCCAGAUGCAGAGGAAACAGGAGAUGAACAUGCCAUGCUGAAAAAGGUACCACCCUGCGGUAGAGUGUCGAUAAGAAAUAUGGUUGAUUUAAGUUGAAAGAGCUAGUUAAUAACAAACCUAAGCUAUUGGCCAAGCAUUUAUAAUUAAUAAUAAGUCCCUGUGUGAUUAUUUGGGAGCAGGCUGGCAGGACAGAAAACCCCACCUACACAGCACUCACAUCAACUGGCUUAUAAUCACCUGUAACUCUAGUUUCUGGGGAUGUGACACCUCUGGCUUCUUGUGUAUCUACAUUCACAUACACAGACAGGCAUGCAGGCACACACAUCGCUAAAACAUAAAUGCAUCUUUUUAAAAAAAAGGAACUUGUAGAAAUACAAAAUCAUGGUAGUAGAAAUACAAAACUCGGUGGCUGACUAGAAAUAAAGUGAUUUAUCGUAUGAUCCAGGAUCUCGCUAGCCCACUAUCAUACCAACACAUAUCCAAAAGAGUUGAAAGAUGUCAAAAGAGACAUCUGUACUUAUUUACUGAGGUGCUGUUUGUGAUAGGGAAUCCACCAACGGACGACCAAAUAAAGAGAAGAUGGGAUGUAUGCCCAACCAAGCAUUGUUCAGUUACAAAACAAUGAAAUUGCCAUUUGCAGUCACAGGGAAGGGCUGGGAGCACCUUAGAUUAGGAAAUAAAUCACUGGGCAGUGGUGGCACACAUCUUUAAUCCUAGCAUUUGGGAGGCAGAGACAGGUGGAUCUCUGUGAGUUCAAGGCCAGCUUGGUCUACAGAGCGAGAUCCAGGACAGCCAGAGCUGUUAUGAUACGGAGAAAUCCUGUAUCAAAAACAAACAAAAACAAAACAAAACAAAAAAAAAAAAAACAAAGAAAGAAAAAGAAAGCAGGCAUGGGAAGACAAAUAUCACAUGACUUUAUUUACAUGUAAAAGUUUGCCCAGGCAUGGUGGCGCACGCCUUUUAUCCCAGCAUUUGGGAGGCAGAGACAGGCAGAUCUGUGAGUUUAAGGACAGUCUGGUCUACGGAGCAAGUUCCAAGCCUGCCAGAGCUACAGAGGGAGACCCUGCCUCAGGGAAGAGGAGGGGGAGAAAGCUGUUUUACAUGUUGGUCUCACAGAAAAAAGUAUAGACUGGCAGUUACCAGAGGAAGGGAAGAGAUGUGAGAAGGUGAGAAAAGAUGGUUAAUGGGUACAGGGGCACAGCUAGGUCCAAGAAAUAAUGGUACAGGGCACAGCUAGGUACAUGUAAUAACUUUUUUUAAAAGUUCUUUUUUUUAAUGUGUAUUGUAUGUGCGUGACUAUGUGUGUCACAUGUGUGGGUUCCCUCAGAGGCCAGAGAGGGGCGCUGUAUCCCCAGGAAAUGGAUCCUAGGGCAACUAUGGUCCCGGGAACAGAACUCAGGCCCUCUGCAACUGCUGAGCCAUCUCUCCAGCUUCCUGAAGGAGUAACUUUCAUGCUCUGCAGCCCAGGAGAGCAACGAAGAGGAGUUUGUUCCUAACACAAAGAAAUGAUUAAUCUUUGAGGGGAGGCUCUGCUAACACCCUGACCUGAUGAGCAUGUUACACAGGAGUACUGAAACACCACAGCGCAGGCAGGAGAGGGGCUCUGUGUGUGUGUAUGUGGGGGCGGCGGGGGAAGGGGGAACUACUUGUUGUACAGGCACAGCAGGGAGUUCAGAUCCCAAGAAUCCACAAAAAAGCUGGGCAGGUGCAGGAAUACACAAGUCUGUAAUCCCCACUCACUCACAUCCUAGAAGAUGCAGAUGGAGACCAGAGAACCACCAGAAGCCCGCUGGUCAGAUAGAGUAGUGUUACACACACACACACACACACACACACACACACACACACACACACACACGCAUGCACAUGUGUACACUCAUACACACAUGCACACUCAAACAUACACACUCGCACACACAAAACCAUGUACCCAUGUACACCCACGUGCAAAAAUACCUGACAAUGUGCACCAAAACCUGCGUAUAGUAGAAAAAUUCAUAUUUUUAUUAAAAUUUCUAUUAAAAAAUUAAUAGAAGUGGUUUGUUUAAAAGAAAAAAAAGAUGGACAUGAUUAUGCAUGAAACUGUCAUCCCAGCUACUUGGGAGGCUGAGACAGGAGGCUUGCUAUGAGUUUAAGGGCAGCCUGGUCUAUACAGCAAAUUUCAGGUCAGUCAAGACUAUGUGGUAAGAUACUGCCUGGGGACAAAAGGAAACAGACCUCACCUCUCCUGGUAGGGUGCUUUACCCCGUCACGUCGUCACAUAAAUGUGAGACUAGAAUAAAGACACUUUCAGCCACACAAGGUCUCACACUCUAUUGGAAGGAAGCUUGGGAAAAUACCUAUAAUCCAGCACAUCUAUAAUCUAUUAUAAUAUCUAUAAUCCAGCACAUGAGACGAGGGAAAGGGAUCUUUGUUGUGAGGCUGAAAAGCGUCUAUGCAGUGACGCCCUGACUCAUGGUUCAGGCCUGCCAGGCCCUGCCAUCUGCUGCUGGACCUGACAAGUGGUGGGGACAUCUUCUGGCCCCAGUCUACAAUCAGAACCCAGGUGCUGCCUGGAUUUGGAUACUCAGUCACCUGUCCUAGAGGACAUGCUCCAACCAGGGGGGUGAACUGAGCAAGAGGAGGGCACAAAAGCAGUCACAACCCACAGGUAGAGAGAAAGAGUUCCAAGGAUCACCACAAAGGAACAUCAGGAAUGUCAACCAUCACAGCCACAUGCCGAGUGGAUCCAGCAUGAGUACAGACCCCCAAAAGUGGACAGAGAUAUUUUCAACCCACUGUGACUGUCUCGAUGCAAAGCCAUUCUGAAGGUUAUCAGGAGUGUAGAAGGAAUUAGCAACAGGCACAAAGAAAACAAGGCAAGCUGGGCGGUGGUGGCGCAUGCCUUUAAUCCCAGCACCGGGAGGCAGAGGCAGGGGGAUCUCUGAGUUUGAGGCCAACUUAGUCUACAGAGACAGUUCCAGGAUGGCCAAGGCUACACAGAGAAACUCCAUCUCUUAAAACCAGAAAGAGAGAGAAAGAGAGAGAGAGAGAGAGAGAGAGAGAGAGAGAGAGAGAGAGAGAGAGAAGGAAAGAAGAAAGGAAAGAAAAAAGACAAGGCAAGCGAAACACAAGGCAACCACUAACUACAGGGAAAAUAAAAAGGAAACUCAUUAGGUUCAGCUGUGAAUAAGUUACAUUGACACAAUAAUGCAAAUGUUAUGUUGGUUUAACAAAGGUGCUUACACACACACACACACACACACACACACACA